CGGAGAUUCUGGGAAGCUUUUUCCGAACAGGCUCACAUUCCCAGAGCCAAACACUUGAUGUAACGAAUGAGGUCAAUGUUUAUGAAUCUACCUCACUAUGUGAUAAAAUCAAUCACUUCCAUUUAAUUCCAGGUCUCAAAUCUUCCCAGCCAUGAUGAGAGAUUUUGUUGAUCACUGGUCGUUUCACUGGGAUCCAACAUUCAUUAGACCCAAAUCCACUCCUCGUGAAUAUUAAACAUCGCACCUGACUUUCUGGAAAAGCAAGAGUCAUGAAUAUACAAGAAUCCCCGGGGAAAUCAGAGUCUUUCAGAGCCACCCUGCCUGGAGUGCCGUCCUCUCGCUCGCUGUGACAGGACCUUGUACCGAACCGAAAAGAAGGCAGUAAAGAGACAGCUGAUUUCCACUGCGGUACACCACCUAAAACCAUCUCACCAUUCACUCUGCACUGCUCGGAGACAUCAGUCAUGUUGUAGAUGUUCAGCAGGCUGUGAAUCCAUCAAGCGCUAAAUGGAAGGAGUUGCUGCAGAAGUCUUAAACCUCUGAACUGCUGUUUGUGGAGAAGAAAUCAUUCGCAUACAAAUGAAGCUUCUGUCAUACGUCGUCAUUUAUGUCAAACCUGAAGCGUCCAACAAAACACCUAACCUGAGGUGCCGGCAUAUUGGUUUUGAGAGUUGUUGCGCAAUGAGGAGAUUGUUUAUCUUGUAAACACUUACGAAAAUGAUUUCAGAAAAGUUUGAAAAUAUUUAAAGCUAUUUGGACUAUA